rnacentral:pre_miRNA from 1 species
GCUGGUCAAACGGAACCAAGUCCGUCUUCCCUGGAGGUUUGGUCCCCUUCAACCAGCUA